AGCGAACGCUGGCGGCAGGCCUAACACAUGCAAGUCGAACGAACCCUUCGGGGUUAGUGGCGGACGGGUGAGUAACACGUGGGAACGUGCCUUUAGGUUCGGAAUAACUCAGGGAAACUUGUGCUAAUACCGAAUGUGCCCUUCGGGGGAAAGAUUUAUCGCCUUUAGAGCGGCCCGCGUCUGAUUAGCUAGUUGGUGAGGUAAUGGCUCACCAAGGCUACGAUCAGUAGCUGGUCUGAGAGGAUGACCAGCCACAUUGGGACUGAGACACGGACCCAACACCUACGAGAGGCAGCAGUAGGGAAUCUUGCGCAAUGGGCGAAAGCCUGACGCAGCCAUGCCGCAUGGAUGAUGAAGGUCUUAGGAUUGUAACAUCCUUUCACCGGUGAAGAUAAUGACUGUAGCCGGAGAAGAAGCCCCGGCUAACUUCGUGCCAGCCGCCGCGGUAACAC
rnacentral:rRNA from 1 species